rnacentral:rRNA from 1 species
GACGAACGCUGGCGGCGUGCCUAAUACAUGCAAGUUGAGCGCUGAAGGUUGGUACUUGUACCGACUGGAUGAGCAGCGAACGGGUGAGUAACGCGUGGGGAAUCUGCCUUUGAGCGGGGGACAACAUUUGGAAACGAAUGCUAAUACCGCAUAAAAACUUUAAACACAAGUUUUAAGUUUGAAAGAUGCAAUUGCAUCACUCAAAGAUGAUCCCGCGUUGUAUUAGCUAGUUGGUGAGGUAAAGGCUCACCAAGGCGAUGAUACAUAGCCGACCUGAGAGGGUGAUCGGCCACAUUGGGACGGAGACACGGCCCAAACUCCUACGGGAGGCAGCAGUAGGGAAUCUUCGGCAAUGGACGAAAGUCUGACCGAGCAACGCCGCGUGAGUGAAGAAGGUUUUCGGAUCGUAAAACUCUGUUGGUAGAGAAGAACGUUGGUGAGAGUGGAAAGCUCAUCAAGUGACGGUAACUACCCAGAAAGGGACGGCUAACUACGUG